UACGUAGGGGGCCAGCGUUGUCCGGAAUCAUUGGGCGUAAAGCGCGCGUAGGCGGUCAGGUAAGUCCGGUGUGAAAGUCAAAGGCUCAACCUUUGAAUGCCGCUGGAUACUGCUUGACUUGAGUCCGGAAGGGGCGAGUGGAAUUCCUGGUGUAGCGGUGAAAUGCGCAGAUAUCAGGAGGAACACCAAUAGCGAAGGCAGCUCGCUGGGACGUUACUGACACUAAGGCGCGAAAGCGUGGGGAGCGAACAGG
rnacentral:rRNA from 1 species